CGAAUGGGGAAACCCAAACCAUUUUGGUUUAUCCCGCAAGGGAGGCAAACCCAGCGAACUGAAAUAUCUAAGUAGCUGGAGGAAAGGACAUCAACCGAGACUCCGUUAGUAGUGACGAGCGAACGCGGACCAGGCCAGUGGCUAAUUUGAAAACAACCAGAAUGACCUGGAAAGGUCAGCCAUAGUGGGUGAUAGCCCCGUAUGGGUAAUGUUUCAUUUUGGUCCUUGAGUAGGGCGGGACACGAGAAAUCCUGCUUGAACAUGGGGGGACCCCUUCCAAGCCUAAGUACUACUCUGGACCGAAGGACA
rnacentral:rRNA from 1 species